UCUCUCUCUCUCUCUCUCUCUCUCUCUCUCUCUCUCUCUCUCUCUCUCUCUCUCUCUCUCUCUCUCCUGUGUCAUCUUCCUCUUUUGUGGUUGAUGAUGCGUCCUCACCACCAGAAAGAGGAAGAUGGCGCAGAGGAUGGAAGGGGUUGGCUUUGGACUCACAAGAUGGCGCAGAAGGAAGAUGUAAGGGGUCGAUUUCGGAUCUGUAAGUCUUGUUUCGCAUCUACUUGCGAAGUCGUUUUUGAAUCUUCUUUCUUUAUAACCAAUUGGUUCAAGUUUCAAUGUUUUCUAAAUCUCCUUUCUUUUUGUAACCAAUUCGUUCAAGUUUCAAUAUUUUCUCGGAGUGCGGCCGCUCUAGAUUCAGAUUUGGGCUAAAAAUUGGUCGGAUCUGUAAGUCUCAUUUCGCACCAGCACAGAUCCGACGCAGAUCUCUGCGUUCCUUUAUUGGGCCAGUGUUUUCGGCCUAUAAAGGUUUAUUGGGCCUGUUGGUCCAAUUGUUGUUUUUAAUUUCUUUCUUAUUAUUUUUUUAAAAUACAACAUCAUUAUUGUUUUUUGUGUUCUGGGCCCGUAGGUAUUGGGCUCGGGCUUGGGCCUGUCUGGUAUUUUUAAUUUCUUUUUGUAAAAAUAAAAUCAAAAUACAUUGGGCUUCAGAAAGCUCCAACUUUUGUUAUAUGGGCAUGUUGGGUUGUUGUGUCCAUAUUGAAGGGAGGUAUGUUUUACCCUUGUUACCCUAGUUGCUCACUAUAAAUGUUAACUCCUUUCUCCUGAGCCUUCAACCCCAUUCUGUUAUGGUUAUUUCCUCUCUCCCUCUCUCUCUCUCUUAUCUCAUCUGUUACUCUGUAUUUCUUUCUCUCACUGUUUUUAGUUACUCUCUAACUUUUCUCUUCUUGUUUUUGGUAAAACAGCAAUGAACAGAGAUAGAACAAGGGAGGGAGCAACACAAUGUGAUUCAUUUCGAAGUCAAAAAAGUAGUUAGUAGCUUAGCAGCUUAGCAAGGCCGAAAAUGCUCCAAAAGCCACAUGUUGAAUGAAAAGGCAAGUGUUAAAAGAAAAAAUCUUUCAUCUUUGGAGCAAUUGAGUUGGUAAAAUCAUGUCUUUUGUGGUAAAAUCAAGCUUUCAUCUCUCUCUCUCNNNNNNNNNNNNNNNNNNNNUUUUAUGUUUACAAUUGCUUAUAUUAGUGAGCCUGAAGUUUCGCUAAUAAUUCUCAAAUAUGAACUUUUUGAGAUUAUGAACCUGAAGUUCAAAUAUUACAGUAGACUUGCAAUUCUAAUUGUUUGCAUAAACCUGAAGUUUUGUGCAUGUACAUGUGAUCCAUUGUUCACAAAAUUCGAACCUGAAGUUUCGAUAUUGAUAUUACUUUCAUAUGAACAUGAAGUUCUAAACAACAUAAUUAGAUCCAUGAUGAUCUAUGUAGUCUUGAAAAAGAGUCUGAAAGACAUGUAUCUAACGGUGAAAUAUCCGUUUAAGUUUUGCCAAACAUCGGUUGAUCAGUUACCAAGAGCAUGAUAUGAAUAGACGCUUUUGCGCCUUCUAAUAUGGAUCAUGAUAUGACUAUAGUUAUGGCUUAACCAUUUUCGGCCCAUUGACGCAUGUCCUAUAAUUUAGUGGCAAUUUACAAAGCCCUCUUUGAAUGGCAAUAAGACCAAAAUUAAUCAUAUUAAUCAGUCUCUUGGGAAAUCUGAGCCAUGGGUGGAUGUCACUUCACCCAAGUUGACAAUGUUUUUGUGGCUAAAUUGAAAUGUUAAAGACAUGAUCAAUGGGGGGUGUUCUUAACACCGAUUAAUAUUAAGCCUAUCAUAAUUGUAUUUUGGACACCGAGUUAUUGUGAUUGAUAUGAGUGCCUUAAAUUAAGGUUAUUAUACGAGUGUAUAUGGUUAAUUUGCUUCCCAAUAAGUGCACAUAAAUAUUUUUCAGGUCAUUAAUCUAGCAAUCAAAUGUCAUUGUUCACAAUUAUGUGCACCAUUUACAAGCAUUUAUAUAUACCAAAUUUCAGCUAUUAAUAACAUGAAAAUUCAUCGGUUUCUUUAUGCGGUUUUUCCCAUUAACAGCCCAAAACAUCAUCAUUCUUAGGUUUUGAAUUAUAUGUAUAUUAAUUAUAUUUUAUUGGUUUCAUUACCUAGCCUGGAUGGAUGUUUCCAUAAUAAGUAGUAGUUUUAGAAUUUUAUGACCAUUGAUAACCUCUAUUUAUUGUUUUAUCAAUUCAGGUCUAGUAAUUGGUUUUUUAUAGCCUCUUUGUUGUGGUAUUAGUCUUUCAUGAAACUUAUUAUUUCCAUAAUAUCAGAUUUAUUAAAGGGACUAAGGUAUGUAUUUUCCCAUUUCAUUAUUUGCAUGAAUUUAAUCUAUUCAUUUCACGACAUUUUUCGUUUUAUGAAUUCCGAGAGAAUUACAGUGAACUCCAUAAUUGAGACCUGAAGCCUCUUUAUCCAACUACAGAGGGCCUGAAGUUCCUCACAAGUAUUUUAUGAAUUCUGAGAGAAUUACAGUGAACUCCAUAAUUGAGACCUGAAGCCUCUUUAUCUAAUUAUAGAGAGCCUGAAGUUCCUCACGAGUAAUAUGAUAAGUGGGGAGAUGUAGGGUAUCAUAGUAACACCAUGGACAUAAAUGAAGGACAUAAGAGGUGUUCUCCCGUGACCAUGUUUCUCGGUCCUUUGUAGGCUGAGACUUCCUCGCUUUAUACUUCAGUGGAAAGAUUAGAGGUUCUGAUAAAAAAGGGCACAUAUAUUGUUGUCUUUCCUCUACCGGUUGCAUCUUUUGUGAUGUUGUCCAGAGUAUCUGACCAUUGGCAAGAUGUUUUUGCUAGACAUCUUACUACCGGCAGUUUUUUCCCGAUCACUCAUCUUAUUGAAAGAUGGUCCUUAUGCAUAUUUAUGAGAAUUGGAGGAAACACGUAACUAAUUAAGCUCUGCAUGUACCCAUUGCAAAUACACUCAUUGUGCAUGUCAUGACAAUAUGACUAAUUCGGCCAACAUAUAUUGAAGAAACAAUAUCAUGGUAUGAGAUUAUGAAAUUCAAAUAUGUUUUAUUUUUCUUAACCUUAUUCGGUUUUGUAAUUAAAAUUGAUCGAAACCUGGAGUUUCUUGAUCAAACUAUAUGAGGGCCUGAAGUUCUUUGAAAAUGAUAUUGUCAAAUGAUUGAAAUGAAGUUUCUCAAAACUUAUGUAAUCAACAAGGACCAGAAGCUCCUUAGAGCUAUACAAUAUAGUUUUCUUGUGAUCCACAAUUAUAUGAUAGCAUGAAGCUCCAAUUUAUUUUGAUACAAUGUUAUUGUGAAAUUAGAGGAGAGAAACAAGAUUAUCAUAUUCGUGAAGGUAACUAGACUAGAAGUUCUUGUACUUCUUCACCAAUGGAACUAUAAGUUUCCAUUCACAUUUUACUUAUCCUUGUUCCUUACCAUUUUAGAGUUUGUUAAUUAUUUUCCUCUUCUAAAUUUUAUUGUUACUCAUACAAGCCAACAACUUUAUAGCACGAACAUAUGAAUUUCAAAUGUCAUGUUUUUUAACCAGAAGUUCAAAUUACUGAAUUAUAGAACAUAAGAAUUCCAGAUAACGUGUAAAUUAAAAGCUCAAGCCCGAAGCUGAGUAUGUAAAUUAAAUUAGUGAACUUGAAGUUUUAGUUCAGUUAUUUGGAACCUGAAGUUUCCGGCACCAAAUUUAUUUGAACUAGAAGUUCAACAUAUGAAAUAUGAGUACUUGAAGUUCUAACAUUAUAAAUUUGAACUUGAAGAUUCGAUUACACAUAUGAUUGAUGGCUCUGGAAGAGCACAUAAUAUCCCCUCUUUACAAGAAGUGGUUUCAAUAUGGUUCCAAAAUAUGUAUUGAGAUCCCACAUCGCCCGAAGGAGGGGAGGAGAUGUGUUGCAAACAUACCUCCCCAUAGUGAAACUAAUUUUGGGUUGGCAACUCAAGCACAAAAUUGUAAAGCGAGCGAGAUCCAAAAUGGACAGUGUCUCGCUAUGUCGCCUAUUACGUGUGUUAAAUUCUACAAUAUAGUGAGACACAUAAUGUCAUGAACCAGAAGUUCAUUGAACCAAAUUAAUUAUUUUGGCAUUACUAGUUACAUCAUAUUUUACCUACAGUGUUGUUUGAAAUCAGUACCAACUUUUGAUGCCAGCUAGCUAACACUACUCAUAGAAAAUUGUUUAUUUGCUGCAUAUUUUUUUGUUGGUUUGUCACUUUAAUGAGACACUUCUCUUGUUAUGAAAGGGAGAAAGAUUGUUCCUGAAGAACAACAUGAAUUGUUGUGGAAUAUUUACCUAUUGUCUCAUUUUGAGUCUGAGGAAUAUCACAGCUAGUAACUUAAUAAAAACUAUUGAUGACAAAAUUAUAUGCUAGCGGAAGAAGAUUUACUUGGGUAAAAUCCCUGAGACCAACCAUAUUAACAAAAAUAACCUUGCCCCCGUUUUAUUUGUGGGAAGAAUGAGAAUCUAAGUGACAUGAUUCUCCUAACGAGAAUGUCAUUAAAAAUGUCCGAGUUCGUAAUAUGGCGGCUACAAUAUUACACAUACAAAGGUUAAAAGUACACAAUCAGAUGAUGAUAUCUUGGUGAUACAAUUAUACAUCAAUAUGGUUGAUACUCAUGAAUUUAAUAUUUUUUGACCUAAACUUGGUUUGGGUUUGCCACCAGCCAAUGGACAUCUUCACUCGAAAGGAAGUGAUAUACAUUUAAACGCAUUUUUAUGCAUGGUCAAAAUAAGACAGUGUUCUCGCCGUUAGGGGGAGAGAAAAGACUACUGUCAUUUGAAUAACGGCGUGAAUUUGGAGUGGAAUGUAUCCACCAGGUCUAAAGUUUUAAGCUCUUGAAAAUGGAAGAUUAUACAUGUCCUAUAAUGUUUUAUGAUAUUAUAAAUAUAGAUCCACAUUCGCUAGAUAUAAUUCAUCUAUGAGAGAUGUUUGUCGUAGAAGUGACAAUAUUUGCCCCAAAAGUGGCAUGGGUACCCAAUAUUAAUAAGCUUAUAAUAGCUAAUGCAUGCAUAUAAAAAUGUGUGAGAUCUAUGAAUGAUGAUCAUCGAUGAAAAUUUACAUAUGGUAGCUACCAAAGACCGUUAAGGACUGUAUGAUGCAAUACCACGUUUCAUUAUGAAUGUCGACAAUGCAUAUUAUUGGCCAAAUUGGAUAGAGGCAAUUCCAAUGAACUGAAUAUAUGAAACGUGAUGAGAUAAUUAGACUUUUAACCCUACAUGAUUCAAAAGGGUUAUUAAUCACAGUGAAAAUAAAUCACUAUAUAUGGCACAAUGUCUACAAGACACAUGGGGAUUACAAAUAUAUUUCCUUAUACGUGACAAUUUUAUGUAAGUACAGUGUUACAUUUAGUUAUUGACAAGAGACUUAUGGCAGUUGUCAUCGUAUAUUAUAAAGAUCUUAAAAGACUUUGCUAAAAGCAAAACCCUCAAAAGUACAGCGUCAUCAUAAGUGUAUCGCAUAUCAAAUCCUUAAAUGAUCCAAGUACAUGAAUGAUUCAAACGUAAAUCGAUCCAUGAAUACUUGAGAGAGUCUGAAUAUGAGAUUGCUUAUCGCUUAAGGGAAAUGACGUAAUGUGCCUUAUACAUGCAAACACAACUCCCACUAGUGAGACGUGCAUGUCUUAAGUUGGAACCCAAGAAGAAAGCCAUGAAGGGGAGGCCCAAAGGCGAGCAUAUCUAGUUAUGUUGGGUUGUUAAACUAAAGUUAACUCAUGCAAUCGAUAGUCUAAAGCUAGCUCAUAUAUAUUUAUUUUGUUAUAGUUAACGUGAUCAAAAUUUCCUCAAUGAGUAUUAUGAUUGGACUACAAAACUGAAUUCGGAUUAUGUUGCUACAUAUUCUAACUUUCGCGAAGUUAUGAAUUGCUUAAAGCUCUUGAAGAACAUAUACGAGAUGUAUCAAUCAAUAAACGAAGAUAUUGAUAUGAGUGGCUAGAUAUGCCAUGCUAAUCUUCCAAUGGUUUUGAACCAUACAUAGUAAUGUGUUAAUUAGCUUCUACUGCUUAGUUAUUACAUAAUGUAUGAAUUUGAACAUGUGAGGUUGUUUCUAACAUUAUAACAUGAGGUAAGACCUAUUAAAUUGUAUAGCUCUGUUGAUAUUGUCUUCACUUUGCAGGUAUGAAAAUCUUGUGAUGAGCCCCUGUAUGCAAAACGAAUAAUAUCUCACUUCCGUAAUAGACAAAUCAAACUGCUAUUUACUGUACAUGAAGCUUACAAUAAUCAGGGGGAGAAUCUCAUCAAAGGGAGCAUCCAGAAGUAUGCUACCUAGGACAUAUACGCGUUGCACUCUUUUUCUCCUUCGACCAGGGUUGUUUUUUCCCACAGGGUUUUUAUUACCUGGUAAGAUUUUUAACGAGACAACACUAAGCGCGUCCAACAUCAGAUUAUUAAUGGACAUCCAAGGGGGUGUGUUGUAAAUAUUAUAAUAUAUGUGGAUGUCCUUGUAAAUACUCAUUAGUUAUGUCCUUAAUAUGUAAAUUAUACUCCUAUAUAAAGGAGUCUAAUGAGAAUGAAAGUGACACUUCUUCCUCCUCUUAUAUUUUGUUCUUCUCUUUUCUCUCUAACUCAUUCUUAGUUUAUAACAUUUCUUAUUAUUUUUUUAAAAUACAACCUCAUCAUUGUUUUUUGUGUUCUGGGCCUGUAGCUAUUGGGCUCGGGCUUGGGCCUGUUCGGUAUUUUUAAUUUCUUUUUACAAAAAUAAAAUCAAAAUACAUUGGGCUUCAGAAAGCUUCAACUUUUGUUAUGUUGGGUUGCAAAAAUAAAAUAAAAAUACAUUGGGUCUGUUGGGUUGUUGUGUCCAUAUUGAAGGAUGGUCUGUUUUACCCUUGUUACCCUAGCUGCUCAUUAUAAAUGUUAACUCCUUUUCUCUGAGCCUUCAGCCCCAUUCUGCUAUGGUUAUUUCCUCUCUCCCUCUGUCUCUCUCUCUCUCUCUCUCAUCUCAUGUUACUCUGUAUUUCAUUCUCUUCUAGGCUGGUUCUUCUUCAACCUCCUCUACUAUCUCAUUGUAAUUGUAUUUCUUUCUCUCUUUUUUCUAACUUAGGCCGGUUCUUUUUCAAAGAAAAAUGGUGCCAAUGUAUGGUUCUCUUUAUCCACUGCUUAUUGUUUUUUCAGUGCUUUCAGUUGUUGUUUAAUUUGGCUAAGAUUAGACUGGAUG
rnacentral:lncRNA from 1 species